rfam:Myotis lucifugus cont2.3041, whole genome shotgun sequence.
CACUCAGGGGGGAGGUCCCUUCAGCCCGGUUUGCGAGAGGGCGCAGGCCAGGCCGAGGGACCCCACCGGUGCACG